CCUGUGUGUGUGGUCUACAUCACUCAUGGUUGUAGGGAUUUAGAUCUGUUUACAGUCGCGUCAUGGGGACUUACACUCGUUAUGGGGACAAAAGCAAGUCUCCCAUAUCGUUCAUAUUCAACAUAAGGUGCAAUCUGGAGUGAAAGGCAGCUUGGGGUCUGAUUUCUCUGCGUUCUUGUCGGACGGCUUCGUGUCACUUGUGGGGAGUGACAUCACUGUACCGGUGGAAGUCCAAUCCUUAACUGACUGGUCGGCCAGAGUCUCCUUCAGGUGUCUGCUUGUCAAACACUGCCAGGCAGAGCACAGGAAGAACUUUGACAGGGAGGACAUUUCUCAGAAUGGGAGGUCCUGCCUGGAGCCAGUCAGGGACGUGAGGGUGAUUGAUCGGCUGAGAGAAGAGCGAAACAAGGCCAAACCCUCCUGUCGCUUCCUCAAUACCAUCAGGUUUAUUGGGGAGCAGUUCAUAUCAAAGGUUCUGGGUGAGAAAGCAAUGCACUGCUGCAUCAGGAGGCUGCUGCAAAACGGAGACGGGCCGUCUCUCUCUCUCUCUCUCUCUUGGGCACCAAGGCUCUCCCUUUUGUUGAAGGACACAGUGGGCGCAAGGAAGAGAGCCGGGUCCACCCCCCACUAACAUUUCAAUGAAAACACACGUGGGAAAUAUAACUUUACAUUUCCCUAUUUCUCACU